rnacentral:sRNA from 1 species
GUGUCAUUUUCGCACUGUAAAGACGAACGGGGCUGAUUCCUCUUCCUCCUGCUGUUCCAGCAGAGUGGUCCUUAUCGUGGUCCGGUGGUCCUGGGCCUCCACGUCGUCGUAGUCCACUGAGGAGGAGCGCAGCAGCUGGAACUAUUUGGUUAACAAACAUUACCUGGUGGCGGCUUGGUUGUCAAGCGCUUGCCGGCACCUUGGACUUCCGGCUGGCGUUCGGAAACAUACUCGACAUUUGGCGUUAGCUUGGUACUAUUAUUGUUGUUGUUGUUGCUGGUCGCCGUUUGUUGAAUCGAUACUCGCUUGUCGGCUUUGACGCUUCCCUGCUGCUUUAAAAUAGAUUCCCGACCUGACGGCGCUGGCACAGAGCCGGAGGCACCGAGCAAUGGGGUCGUCAUUGCUGCUCCGGCAGUCGGUGUGUCGAGUUCUAAAAAUCAUAGGGAUGAGGAAGAUUAAGUUAGGGUUCUUGGAGGGAUUACCCAUCGCAAAGGGUGCUAUUCCCCAACAUAUAUGUAUGUUAACCACGUGAAUUAAAGCAACCAAUUAACUCAGAACAAAGGUUAAAGGCGUAACAUAAACACAGAUAGAAAGCUCAAUAAAAUGCAAGAGGUAACGAGUUGUUCAUAAGAUUUAUCAUUUAUUUGAUGCUUCAUCUAACGCUAGGGAUAGACAUAGGAUUUAGUGGAGUGGUUAGAAUACCAUUAGGUUAGUUGUUCAUGUGUUGUGGGCGAUUAACAAUUUUAAAUAUAUCGUGUGUGUGUGUUUGUGUGGGAUGUGUGGCAAAUAAUUAAUAACUAAUCUUCGGCAUAUAAACAUUGGAAUGAUUUAGUAAUCGCACAACUCAAGUAUUAGUAAUUGCCAAUAAUACUGACCGAAUCAAAGCUAGGCCAAAGCAAGAAUAAAACAAGUAAUACGAGAAA